GGGGAUUUAGCUCAGUGGUAGAGCGCUUGCCUAGGAAGCGCAAGGUCCUGGGUUCGAUCCUCAGCUCUA
rnacentral:tRNA from 1 species